rnacentral:misc_RNA from 1 species
CUGGCCUUAAGAGCUCAACACCUCC